rnacentral:rRNA from 1 species
AUUGAACGCUGGCGGCAGGCCUAACACAUGCAAGUCGAACGGUAGCACAGAGAGCUUGCUCUCGGGUGACGAGUGGCGGACGGGUGAGUAAUGUCUGGGAAACUGCCCGAUGGAGGGGGAUAACUACUGGAAACGGUAGCUAAUACCGCAUAACGUCGCAAGACCAAAGUGGGGGACCUUCGGGCCUCACACCAUCGGAUGUGCCCAGAUGGGAUUAGCGAGUAGGUGGGGUAAUGGCUCACCUAGGCGACGAUCCCUAGCUGGUCUGAGAGGAGGACCAGCCGCACUGGAACUGAGGCACGGUCCAGGCUCCUACGGGAGGCAGCAGUUGGGAAUAUUGCACAAUGGGCGCAAGCCUGAUGCAGCCAUGCCGCGUGUAUGAAGAAGGCCUUCGGGUUGUAGAGUACUUUCAGCGGGGAGAAAGGCGGUGAAGUUAACAGCUUCACCGAUUGACGUUACCCGCAGAAGAAGCACCGGCUAACUCCGUGCCAGCAGCCGCCGUAA